UUUAUUAAUCUAUUAUUUGUGAAACUCAUGCUCUGCAAAUGUUGAUCAUGGAAAAAUCCAAAAUCACUAGUUAUGAAAUAAUCACAAGUAGGAUCUGAACCUACUAUAACAUAAACCAAAAUUUCAUAUAUACCACCCUACAAAUGUUAACCUGUGCAAAAUUUUUUGUAGACAUUUUGCAACACACUCCCCGUGUUACAACACAAAAUAAAACAUUAACUUUACUAAUGGAACGCUCAUCUAAUCCAAGAAAAAGAGAAACAAAAUUUUACAACAUCUUUCCCAGUGGUCUUAAUUCCCUUGGCAAACCAUCAAAAUUUCCCGCAUUUACAUCAGAUUGUAGCAUCGGCUGCUUUCCACUUUUCCAAAGGAUGCCCUCUGCCAGGUGCUCCUUGUUUGGUGUCAACAUCACGAAAUUUGGGUCAGCUCUUUGAUAACUGGCUUCUCUAAGAUUCUCUACGCGGAUGCCAAAUCCAUAUGCUGUCUUUCCAAUAAUGCGGUCUCUGGUAGCUGAAAUAUUGAAAGUAAAUGAUGGUUUCCACCAUGACUUGAAUGCUAAUGUCAAUGAUGAGCUGAGAGGUCCCAGCUUUCCCUUCAAUAAGAAAUUUUUAUUGGCCUGCCAGGAUGCAGCAACUUGAAAGGUGGAUUCUGGGAUAUUCUUUGAUGUAUUGGCAUCAUCAACCCUUUAAAAUAUGAUCAUAUUAAAAUCAGAUAUAAUUGCUUCAGUUAUAGACUAAAUUCUCGCUUUGAAUACCUUGUCUGCAACUCAAACCCAAAGUCAAUAUAAUUUGUAAUUCCAACUAUUUCAUUUUCUUCAAAUGGAUUCUUGACCUGUGUAGUUUAAGCAGUUCAAAGCUUGUCAGGAUUCAGGAAAACAUAUUCCUCAUUGGCAGCUACAAUUUAAAGAGAACUUUUAUAACCAAACCAGAAUCCCAAAUGAAAUACAGUCACAUCCAAAUUUUGAUAGUGCUUGACCUUUCUAAAUAAAAAGCAGUAAUAAUACCAACUUGUAAUUAAGACUUCAAUAUCAAUUUAAUAAGCUGAUUUAUAGCAUUACAUAUACAUUUUCCUUCUUGAAAGAUUCAUUGAUUUCAUUCAACAUUUUCACUGCUACAACGAGUCAGAACACAAUGUAAUUAGUCUCUAUCUUCUUCUACAUUGAUAAACCUAACAACAAAAGAUCUAGGAUCGGAUUAUUGACCACCAUAUGCAAAAUCUCCCUCUCAAUUUUUUCUCCUGCAAUUUCAAUAUGUCCAACCUUUCAUACUGAUACUGGUGAUAUCACUAAUAUACAAUGCAUAUAUACAAAGCAUCUCAAUCUUUCAUCUCUCAAAUUUUCCUCACUGGGUGCUAUUUCCACCUUCAUACAAAUGCAUUCAUGCCUUAUCCAACCCAUCAUUUCAUUUCUGCAUAUUUAUCUUUGUUCCACUUCCAUAGGAUAACUUAUGAGUUUGAAUGCUCAUGUUGUGGAUUUUAUACAAUUCAUAAUUAAUGCAAUAAAAUUAUCCAUCUGUAAAAUAUACUUAUCCACAUCGUUAGGUUAAACAGGUAGAGAUGAUACCUAGUCUUUCAAGUUUUGAUUUAUUGGCAAAAAACAGAAGGUUUGCGUUCAAGGCUUUCUUUCAUGUUAACCCACUCACAUGAAACCAUUACUUAGCAAAUAAUGUGUUCAAGCCCAUCUAAAAAGUCGAUUUGAUCUACCAAAAGUAAACAGAUACACUAAAUCUUGUACAUGAAAAGCCAGAAACUGAUUAAUGAUAUGACAGCAAAUAUGCAUUCGACCCAAAGGCCCACUAGACUGAGACAGACUGCAAAUAGAUAAUUUCACAACAAAGGAUCUGCAUACAUAAUCAAAUGGAAACCAAUGACCAUAAAUAUGACAAAAGAAGUAGAGAGAAGCAUACCCGUCUUUGGACCACUGCAUGUUGGUAAAAUGAAGCAAUGAACUACAGUAAAAAUAAUGAGGGUAUCAGAAAAGUGCAUAAUAUGAUUUCAAUCAUUGAAUUUAGCAUGCUAUGAAUCCUUUCUUUAACAAAUUGUAACAGAUACUUUGGCUUUCUCAAUUGAUAGCCGAAAUCUGGAAACUAGUGAUGAUACUGAUGAAAUAAUUAAAUUGCUCCUAUCAUAUCCAAUAAAAAAAUAAAAAUUAGUGCCAGCUGUAACAGACCUUUCCUAAAAUAUAAAAUCCUAAGACAGAAACUUCCAAGAGAAAAUGUAGAUAAAAAAAAAUUAAAAGAAUGAAACAAAAUAACUCUGAAACAAAAUACUUCUGUAUUAAAAUAAUAACUCCAACCCAAAUAAACUAACCUGAGAACUUUUUGCAAGUUCAAGGCAAAAAUUGAAAGAAGGACUCAGGGGGCUUCCUGAUCCUACUCCAUAGCCAAUUGCAGCACUCCAAUUCGUUAAAUUCUUAUAUUUAGCACCAGCUUUGCUUCCAUCUAACAGAAGCAGCAUCAGCAAGCAGAACAAUAUCAGUUUUCAGUAAUAUGUCAUUAUGCCUUCCUGAAUCAACACAUUUUUUAAAAGUGACAAUGAAUUACCACUUCGUAUAGUAACAAAUGUACCAUGAAGAUAGUUAGGUGAAGCAUCCUAAUAAUUGGAAGCUAGUCUUUACAGAACGUUUCAGUGGAAGUAGAAUAUGACUCAAACUCCCCAUGUCACCAUGCCCUUAAAAACAUUUCUCAGUGAUUUAUCAUCUGUAAAGCUAGAAUCAAGAAAACCUAAAAGAUUCAUUUAUAUGCUCAAGGAUGGAUACUUCUUUCUGAAUCUGCUGCCUGCAGGGCACCUGUUUCUCUCUUUCAUCUCUCAGUGCAUAGCUACUACAUGCAAGCCUUCAAUGAGUGUACAAUACAUAGUAGAAACACACAAGAACUCUAAAACAUAUACCCACUCAUGUGUCAGAGAUGCAAGGAAAACAUAUUGGAAAAUCAAUAGCAUACAGACAUACACUCAGAAGAACAUAUGUCAACUCCUUCAAGCAAUAGAAUCUCAAUCAUAAGUAUUUCCAAGAAUUAACAAAAUGGAAGAAUUCCAAAAGAAGCACAGAGAAAGAGAUAACAACCAACUUAUUUCUAGGCUAAAGAAGCAGCUGAUGAAUAAGUUAAUGAUAUAUAAAAUCAGAAUAAACUCUACUUUAAGUAGGUGGAGAAUGUGUCAAAUGAAUCUAACAUGUGUAUACUUACUUAGUGCCUCAUACUGUACUCCAACAGUCAGCCUUCCAAACUUGCUUACAAGCCAUGCACUCUUAGGCAACUCAUCUUUCACUGAAAGAAAGAGUAAUAGUGUCCAACAUACAAAUAUAGAGAUCAUAUGUUCUAUUUCAAAGUUACAAAAUCUUGAUCAAGAAAAUGCAAGUAAUGAAAAUGUUGGCCUCAUAAACGUGACCAGAUAAGAAUUGGCCCAGUUAUGUUUCACUUGGAAAGCAGAGAGGAUGAUGCAAAAGAGAUUCAAUAUUCUUCAUUAGAUUUCUUAGUAAUGUAAGUAAUCCUAUGAAGUCAGUUUCAAAUAGACACCCUUGCAACUAAUGAAGAGAAAUUCAAACUAUGAAGCACAGCAAACUGUAAUUGAGAGAACCAUGGCAGACUAUAGAGGUAAUUUGUAUGUCAAUACCAGCAAAAGGCAUGAGUGUGGCUCCAAAGGAUAAAUUUCCUGAGCCAUACCUCAGUCCCAUGACACCAUAAUCUUCCGAAGCUAUUCUGUGAGAGUAAUGGGAUUUAUCAGAGUAAAAUGUUUACAGAUGAUGUACCAAGCAACUGAAGGACCCAUGUGAGACUGCAAUAGAGAUAUAAAUAUUACCUUUUUCUCAAUAGGAGUGGAAAAAUACCAAACGCUCCAAAACCAUAUCUAGGGUAGUAAGCACAUGAGCGCAUUUGCAGAAUAGGAUCCAAGUUUGAGACAAAAAGGUCUAUGAAUGUAUGAGAGUCGUCCACAUCGCUUUGCCACCGAAAUAAUGCAUUUCCUGUAAUUUU
rnacentral:misc_RNA from 1 species